UAGUUAUGAAUUCCUGAAAAUAAAUUGCUCGGUGAAGACAUUAUGUUAGGUUAGUUAGAUGUUACUAAGUCGAGUUCUGUGUCAAUAAUGUGAGAGAUUUCUAGGGUAGAGAAGUGGAUUAAACAACAGAGUCAAAGACUGUUAUUUAUUUUUGGUUGUGAACCUGGAUGUCACAUCAUUUUCCAAAAGUUUGUUUGGGAGUACAAGAAAUAUUGGAUUAUAUUACAAAAAAGUGAACCAGAAAGACUCCGAAAAAACAUGGCAAAGUACCAAUGUCUCUUUGAGCAGCUCGGCCAUCGGAGUUUCGGGCUAGGAAUACCAACUCUGCCUACAGAAAGAGGUGCAAUAAGAACCCUAGAGCUUGAGAGGCCGAAGUAACAUCCCGGUGUACCCUUACCCUUUGUGUGCGGUCAAUGAUACGCUUGAGUAGGACAUGUUGGUGACGUCAGAAUACCUUGACACAGAAGUGUUCACAUAAAAUGCAUAGUUACAAUGUUAAAAUAGAUCACAUUGGGAUUUAAACAUUGUGCAUAACACAUUUUGACUUUUUAAUACUGAGCAUAACUAACAUAGCAACUAAACACAUUUGUUUUUAAAGAAACCGAAGCUAUACAAUGUAUAUGGCAACUUGUUUUUUUUUCUUAGUAACUAACAAAAGUUAGAUAAAACAAAGAAAACAUUUAAAACUAAAUUUUAAAAAAGACAAUACUUCCUUCAAGCAACUUAUAGAGCGUUGUUGUUUUUUUUCUCUUAAAAAUUAAAGACUGUCAGAUGAGGGGCGUAGCUAGGGAUUUGGCGGCCGGGAAGAUUGACCUCUUGAUGUAUAGAUUUAAUCCACUUUAUAAUAAUAAUAAUAAUAAUAAUAAUAAUAAUCUUUAUUAUCCGUAAGGAAAUUUGUCUUACAAUUUGUGCAUUACACCAAGCAAAAAACAUUAUAACUAUAAGAAACCAAAGUGUACAUUCACACCAGACUCACUCAUAAUUUACAUGUGACAAAGUUUAUACCAGAUUGUUCUUAUUUAAUGAUUUGAUUGCCAGGGGAACAAAAGAGUGUUUGAGUCUGUUCGUCUUUGCUAUCGGUUACUCUAUUGGUUUUGAAUGUAAGCACGUAGAUCUAGCACUUAGAAAAGGAUGCGAAACAUUUUCACAAUCAUUUAUUUAUUCAGCUGCUUAAUCAAUAAAGCCUUACAUUCGGAAAUUCCUGAACGCAAUAGUCCUCUCAAGAAUGCGAUAAUCAUUUUUAAAAUAAAUGUUAAAUAUAGACCUAGAAUCCUACAUCAAGAUAUCUUGCCUAAUUUAAAUUUCUUUCAGUUUUACUUGAAAAAUUAUAACGGUCAAACGUCCCGAUGUGGCCAACGAGCUAGUAAGUCUUUUCUCUGCGAUAUUCAGCAACUGUUAAAUUUUGAGGAAAAUCGUUUUAGGGGUUUUUGAGAUCAGCUUCUUUUCAGGCUCUAGG